UCGCCGAACCGGACGGUCGCUCAGCAUCACGUAGGAAAGCAGCAGUAAGCAGGGAGGAGCCCGUUUUUCAUCACCGCCGUGCCGACUUCAUCAAACGUCAACGCCGGGCACGCUUAGUUUCACCCGUUUUCAUCACCGCCGUGCCGACUUCAUCAAACGUCAACGCCGGGCACGCUUAGUUUCACCCGUUUUCAUCACCGCCGUGCCGACUUCAUCAAACGUCAACGCCGGGCACGCUUAGUUUCACCCGUUUUCAUCACCGCCGUGCCGACUUCAUCAAACGUCAACGCCGGGCACGCUUAGUUUCACCCGUUUUCAUCACCGCCGUGCCGACUUCAUCAAACGUCAACGCCGGGCACGUUAGUUUCACCCGUUUUCAUCAACGCCGUCUACAUCGCCGUACCAGCUUUAACAAGCGUCAACGCCGGGCACGUUAUUUCACCCGUUUUCAUCACCGCCGUGCCGACUUCAUCAAACGUCAACGCCGGGCACGCUUAUUUCACCCGUUUUCAUCACCGCCGUGCCGACUUCAUCAAGCGUCAACGCC